rnacentral:rRNA from 1 species
UACGUAGGGAGCAAGCGUUGUCCGGAAUCAUUGGGCGUAAAGCGCGCGUAGGCGGCCCGAUAAGUCCGCUGUAAAAGUCAACGGCUCAACUGUUGAAAGCCGGUGGAUACUGUCGGGCUAGAGUACGGAAGGGGCAAUCGGAAUUCUUGGUGUAGCGGUGAAAUGCGUAGAUAUCAAGAGGAACACCUGAGGUGAAGACGGGUUGCUGGGCCGACACUGACGCUGAGUGCGCGAAAGCCAGGGGAGCAAACGGG